rnacentral:rRNA from 1 species
GUGCCAGCCGCCGCGGUAAUACGUAGGUGGCAAGCGUUAUCCGGAAUUAUUGGGCGUAAAGCGCGCGUAGGCGGUUUUUUAAGUCUGAUGUGAAAGCCCACGGCUCAACCGUGGAGGGUCAUUGGAAACUGGAAAACUUGAGUGCAGAAGAGGAAAGUGGAAUUCCAUGUGUAGCGGCGAAAUGCGCAGAGAUAUGGAGGAACACCAGUGGCGAAGGCGACUUUCUGGUCUGUAACUGACGCUGAUGUGCGAAAGCGUGGGGAUCAAACAGGAUUAGA